GGCCCGAUGGCGGAGUGGCUACGCAACGGUCUGCAAAACCGUACACGGGGGUUCGAUUCCCCCUCGGGCCU
rnacentral:tRNA from 1 species